CUAAAAAAAAAAACCGUUAAUAGGUAAAGUAGAAGGCUUAAGUAAGCUACAUAUGAGCAAAUAGGGCAGUGGAAGAGACUAAAGAGUUUUUGUUGAGAGUUGAAUGCACCUUUUGUUGAAAGUUGCAGCCCUACAAUGCAUUGAUCAGGUUUCUAAUCUAAUUGAGUGUUGUCUACAAAGUAUAUGAAUAGAGAAGAGGU